rnacentral:lncRNA from 1 species
CACAACAUAUAAACAGCAGAUUUAUCGAAUACAAUAGAAGAUUAGUCUCCGAAUACAAUUCAUCAUAUUAGUCUCCGAAUUUAAAAUACCGAACAAAGUUAGAACAUUACAAGUCUCAAGACCGCGAGUAGCGAGUUUGUCUUCACAUUACAAGUCGAUAUCGAUCAUCUAAACUACCAUCACAUAGAAGAGAGCCGCGGUCAUCACGAUGAGCAUAAUCGCGAUGAAACUGGUC